rnacentral:ncRNA from 2 species
GUCACGGGUUGUGGCGAUGGUGCUGCGUUCGGGUCAACCCCGGAGCGGCUGAAAAGGGAACACGGUGCGAGAGACCUUUCUCAAUUCCGUGACUGCCCCCGCAACUGUAAGCGGUGAGCAACCCGUCAAUCCACUGGAUCGACUGCGAUCCGGGAAGGGACGGCGCGCUUUGAUCCGCGAGUCAGGAGACCUGCCAUCAAUUGAUCGCAACC